rnacentral:tRNA from 1 species
ACGACAGUAGCUCAAUUGGCAGAGCACCGGUCUCCAAAACCGGGGGUUGCAGGUUCGACUCCUGCCUGUCGUG